rnacentral:misc_RNA from 1 species
UUAAGGUUGGUGAUUGAGGCAGGGAGUGAGCCAGAGAACCAAUUGGAACGGAGAAUCAAGUUCUGGAGGUUGAAAAGAGAGGAAAUGGAAGAUGGGAUAGGGCCAAAGAAAUCAGAGAGGUCAAGAAUAGUGAGAUUACUGAGUUGAGAAACAAGUGGGGUUAAUUGCCCUGAGUAGCCAACAGGAUCAAGAGUGAGUUGGGUGACUCGAGUUGAGUCAGAGGAGCAAGUGACGCCGCAGGUGAAGUGAGUCCGCCGAGGUAAGGCACAUGGGUCGGUGGCGAAGUCCCAGGAGGCAAGGCAGGACCAUGAUGGGAUAGAACUUGGCUUGAUGGAAGCUUUAAAGGCCUUGAGAGCAGAGAUAUCUUGUGGUGAAGUGAGAGCAAAAACAAGAAAAUUUCUGGAGAUGAAGACAAACAGGUGAAGAAGAAAGAAGAGAAAUUUGGACAUUUUGAGAGGAAUGUGAAAUGGGUUUUGAUGGAGAAUGAAGA